rnacentral:rRNA from 1 species
CUUACGAUUACAACUUGCGAAACGAAGAGAAGCAAGUAGGUCAAGCGCCAAACACGUUCAGACGGAAGUCAUGACGGGAAGUGCGGUUGGGAAUAGAGGAAUAUUAGUGAAA